AGUGAACGCUGGCGGUAGGCCUAACACAUGCAAGUCGAACGACAGCACAGUAAGCGCUUGCUCUUACGGGUGGCGAGUGACGGACGGGUGAGGAAUACAUCGGAAUCUACUUUUUCGUGGGGGAUAACGUAGGGCCACUUCCGCUAAUACCGCAUACGACCUACGGGAGAAUUCAGGGGAUCUUCGGGGCUUGUGCGAUUGAAUGAGCCGAUGCCGGAUUAGAUAGUUGGCGGGGUAAAGUCCCACCAAAGCGACGAUCCGUAGCGGAUCUGAGAGGAGGAUCAGCCACACUGGAAUUGAGCCACGGUCCAGAUCCUAACGGGAGGCAGCAUUGGGGAAUAUCGGACAAGGGGCGCAAGCCUGAUCCAGCCAUACCGCGGAGGUGUAGAAGGCCUCCGGGUUGUAAAGCCUUUUUGUUGGGAAAGAAAAGCAUCAGGUUAACACCCCGCUUUUCGGCCGUUACCCAAAGAAUAAGCACCGGCUAACUUCGG
rnacentral:rRNA from 1 species